CCGGAGCUUGUUACCAACCUAAC
rnacentral:siRNA from 1 species